rfam:Gossypium raimondii Chr01_contig_144, whole genome shotgun sequence.
UGUUAAAAUUUUUAUUUAUUUCUAUUGUUAAAAACUGGUGUGGCUGAUAGAAUACCCAAACAAUGACACACGGUAUGCCAUGUGUACAUCACACAGAUAUAUAAGGCUAGUUUUUAACAGUAGAAAUGAAUGAAUUUUUUAACA